AGAUGGUAUUGAGUAGAUGGUGUUAUAUAUACAGCCAUGUGCAUGGCUGUAUAUAUAACACCAUCCAUUCAUCUUUCAGC
rnacentral:miRNA from 1 species